CAAUAGCGUAUAUUAAAGUUGUUGCAGUUAAAAAGCUCGUAGUUGGACCUUGGACCUGGACAGGCGGUCCGCCUCACGGCGAGUACUGUCUUGCUGGGUCUUUCCUCUUGGUGAUCUGUUGUUUCGGCAGCAGGGAACCAGGACCUUUACUUUGAAAAAAUUAGAGUGUUCAAAGCAGGCUCGACGCCGGAAUAUAUUAGCAUGGAAUAAUAAAAUAGGACGUGCGGUUCUAUUUUGUUGGCUUUUGGAAUCGCCGUAAUGAUUAAUAGGGACAGUCGGGGGCAUUAGUACUCACAUGCUAGAGGUGAAAUUCUUGGAUUUUGUGAAGACUAACUUCUGCGAAAGCAUUUGACAAGGAUGUUUUCAUUAA
rnacentral:rRNA from 1 species